ensembl:lncRNA
UUUUGUUGGAGGUUCUUCUGUAGCUGAGUCCUUCUUCAGCUUAUUCCAAUGUGAUUCUGGAUGUCAAAGGCUGAUGGAAACAAGAUAAAUUAUCCUCAUGCAGAUGUUCUGAAACUACUCCCCUAGUUGGCUUGCUACAAAGAAGACUAUUUCCAUGCCCUUUUAUGCUGUGAAGUCUGUGUGCACACCAACUUGGCUGAAGGAAUCUGCACUGCUGUGACUCAAGGGAGUCCUGGAACAACUUCCUCUUCACAUCCUUUUUGCACACUGUCUUGAGGGGAAUUCUUGUGGACAACACCCAGACACCAUCCCAUGCUGUGCUGUCCAAAGUAGUUUCAAAAUUGCUUUACUGUGUAGAAGGGAACAAGGACCUUGUCCACAGCCAUUUCCAAAGCUGCUUAUGCUGUGCUAUGUUUUGUCAGAGCUUUUGUGUCCCAGGCGUAAUGGAGGUCCCAGCUCAUCCUUCUACCAAAAAAUGGGUGCUUCAGGCAAGAGAAGUGUUCUCCUGUGUCUUGCCUCAUACUGCCACCACCAGAGCUAUGAGUUAUACCAGCUACGGCAUCCCCAUGGAUACAGGCAGAUUUUACUUCUGGAUGCUGACUACCAUGUUCAUAGUGAUGUCUCUUACCAUUCUCCAACAUGGUCCAGGAGAAGGAAAUGUACUUCUGAGACUUCCUGUAGUGCAUCUUGCAUAAGUGUCCCUUCAGAUACUUGGCUGAGGAGAGCAGCCACCCUUGGACUCACCUCUGAUCAUUUCUUCAUACCCUGGUCAUUUAUUUAUGCCUUAUUGUGGAUAGAGGUCAGUGCUCAGCACUUCCUGGUUUCCUGAAGCCUUUGGUACUCAGCAAGUAACUCUGUCUCACCUAGCACGGCCUGUGUUUAACCAGGAAUGUAUCUCUAGGAAUUGGUAGUCCUAUCUGGUCCCCAGACCUGGAUUUCAGAGGUGCAAAGUACUUGCAGAUUCAGUUAACUUUGUUUGGAGCUGCUACAGUUCAAGAGCUUAGCUGUCAGGUUCCUGAUAAAUAACCCAGUGCAGCCAGCCAAAUCUGAGCUUACAUUCAUCAGCCGAGUUAAAGGCAUUAGUCAUAUUGACACCAGAUGAGAAUCUGGCCCUAAAAUAUUUGUAAGGCAAAGAACGGAAAACAUGGGAAGCUUUCAUAGAUAUUCUGUUUAAUGUUUUGUAAACCUUCCUGGUAUGUUGCUAGGGGAAUUUUAAUACAUCAGUGCAUUUAAAGUAGAUCUCAGCGAGGUGUUUGAAAUCGGAUCCAAUUCUUCCCCCACCCUGAACUUCCUUAUUGUCACCAUUUCAGCUCUCUCCUGCCUGGUAAAGACCCUUCUGCUGACCCACUUCCUGCCUGUGUAGCAGUACCAGGAACUGCACAAGGAAUCCUUGUUUUACUUCACUCUAGACGCUGACAUUGCAUUUUGCAGCUAGCUGGGCUUCAUCUGGGAGAGUACAGCUCUUGUGUUUCCUGAUGUGAGUCAGUUGUGAGGAAAGCGUUUAACCUUUUGUCAAAGGUUAAACAUAUAAAAGGGGAAUGUGAAGCUCUUGUAUUCCUGUUAUUGCCACAUUAAAGAGAGCAGCUUCCAUGGCUGAGCUAAAUCUAACUUUUUUUUUGUAUUUCUUUCUAUAUCUAAUUCAAAGCUGCAGUUUACUGCAUUUGUUAAGGAAAGUAUGUUUGAACAGGGCUGUAUGAUAAAAGUCAUUCACUGACUGUUUCCACUGUAUUAUUUUCCUCUUAAUGAUCCUCUCCGUCUUUAUUCCCUCAACUCUGAAUGGAUUCAGAAAUGUUUGGACCUUUCCAAAAAGGUCCUUUAAAAUUAUCUGUUUCUAGAAAAUAGAAACGACUUUGGAGGAAAAUAAACUGCAAACGUGCUUGUGCUC